rnacentral:rRNA from 1 species
UACGUAGGGGGCAAGCGUUGUCCGGAAUUAUUGGGCGUAAAGGGCUCGUAGGCGGUUUGUCGCGUCGGGAGUGAAAACUCAGGGCUCAACCCUGAGCGUGCUUCCGAUACGGGCAGACUAGAGGUAUGCAGGGGAGAACGGAAUUCCUGGUGUAGCGGUGAAAUGCGCAGAUAUCAGGAAGAACACCGAUGGCGAAGGCAGAUCUCUGGGCCGUAACUGACGCUGAGGAGCGAAAGCAUGGGGAGCGAACAGG